GACUAGGCAGGGAGAAGGACCUGCCCUGGGAGCAUCUAAGGAAGGACAUGGAAGCUGCUCCUCUAAGGAGAGAGGACCUGAUCUGCUAGAAGCCAGACUGACUAAAGACCUUCCAAGUGUCACUGUGUCUAUGGCCGAUCAGCAAGAAUCCUGGGCAGCAAGUUCCCUUCUGCCUGGAGCUCAAUUGGAGUGCAUCUCCAAGCCCCAGUCAGACAACUGUUUCAUGUGAAGUCAACCAGUCCACUGCCAACAAGAUUGUUUGUAUAAAGAUUGGGCUUGAGCUAAGGACCAGCACACCCCACCCCCUGACUCAGACCUGCUUUUGAGCCAAGCUGACUGCAUCGCCAAGCAACAGAGUGAUUUGACAUUGAGUCAGGCCUAUUAACAGCUCACCCAGGAAGAUCCCCAUGCUCCUACAGGAUUUUCCCCAUUUGAGUUUUUGUAUGGGAGACAACCCUGGGAAAUACUAGAUCUGAGUCAUGAAAUGUGGGAGGGGCAGGAGUCAAAGUCCACCAACUCAAUACAGUAUUUAUUAUGAUUAAGAGAGAAGCAAAAAUCCCUGGGCGAGUUUGCAAAGGAGAACUUGUUGAAGGAGCAACACAACAAGGAGAAGAAUUAUAACAAGGGCACCUGUAUCUGAGCGUUCCAACUGGGGGACCAAGUUCUAUUUCUGCUACCUAUCUCCGAAUCCAAGCUGUUGGCCCAAUGGCAGGGGCCUUUUGAAAUAGUGAAGUUAUGAACUUUACCAGCCUAGGAAGAGGAAAGCAACCCAAAUAUAUCAUGUCAACUUACUGAAGGUAUGGAAAGAAUGGGAGGGACUCAUCAUCAUUCCAUUCCCUCCUGAGCCUGAAUGUGGCCCCCGUGCCAUGAUGGUUCCUCAGUUGGGGGACCAUAUCAGUUGGGGAAGGCUUAUGACCUGAGCAGGAAGAGCAGAUAUGCAAACUCAUCAGCACAUUCAUCUCUGCAUUUUUGGCAACAACCGGGCUGCAUGUACCCAGUGUUCCACUGUAUAGAGACUGAACGCAGCCGGAAAGCGAGAGAGAGCAUGCAACCAUUAACCAGAAAAAAUGUGGGAGACUGACAAGAGCUACAGAACAUGUUGGUCACAGAGGUCAUCGAGGAGUCACACAGUAGGUGGCAAACUCUGAUAGUGCUCGUGCCCAAACAGGAUGGCUCAACAUGGUUCUGCAUUGACUUUUGAAAAAUGAAUACAAUAGCCAAAUUCAACCCUACAGGUCGAUGAAUUGCUGGAGAGUCUGGAGGCUGCCCAGGCACAUAUCCACUCUUGACCUAACCUGAGGGGAACUGGCAGAUCCCCCUUGCUCCUGAAUCCAGGGAAAAGAUGAUGACCUUCUCUAGCCCCUGGGCUUAUUCAAGUUUAGAAUCACGCCCUGCAGUCUGCAUGGGUCGUGGCUACAUUCAAGAGGUUAAUGGAUAAAAUACUGUGCCAACAUAGUAUGCGGCUGCUUAUGUUGAUGAUACCAUCAUUUACAGCGGGACAUGGGUCAACCACAUAAAACACCUCACAGCAGUUCUACAAGCAUUCUGCAAGGCUGGACUGAUGGCUAACCCAGAUAAAUGUCAAUUAGCCAACUGGGAAGUGAACUACCUGGGAUACACAGUGGGUGGAGCAUGGCUACGUGUAUUAUUAGGGAAGGCAAAAGGCCUUGUUAAAAUACCUGAACCUCUCUAUGAAGAAACAAAUAUGAUGCUUCUGGGACAAGUGGGGCACGAUAGGUGGUUCAUACCCAAUUUUGGCACCAGAGCCACACCCUGAACAGACUUAGUAAAAGAUGUUUCACUCAGGCAGAUCUGGUUGAUCAAGGCCUGUGCCAAGACCUUCCAGGGAUUAAAAAAAAAAAAAGCUGGUGAAGAAGGAACCUGUUUUAUUUCACCCCGACUUUUCAGGACCUUUCACUUUACAAUGGACACACUGGAUGUCAGCCUUGGAGCUGUACUAUUGCAAGAAAUAGGGGGAGAGGAACGUCCCAUCCUAUAUCUCGGCAAGAAGCUGUUGUCCUAAGAAGAUGCCUAUUCAGUGACAGAGAAUAGGGCUCCUGUGGUAAAGUGGGCUUACAUUGUUCCCGGUGGGGCCAACCAUUCCAGCUAGUGACAGAUCACAUGCCCCUCCAAUGGCUACAAUCCAUGAAGGACCAUAACCCCUGAGUCAUCUGGUGGAAUUGGUCCCUGCAGCCAUACCACUUUGAAGUACUGCAUCAAGCCAAUAAAGACCAUAAAAAUGUGGACUUUUUUUCAUGAGACCGGUGUGGGGGGACAGUCAACCCAGAUAGACCCGGCGACUCGGAAACUGAGUGGGAGGGUGUGAGAUGGGGUCUAGAGG